rnacentral:rRNA from 1 species
AUUGAACGCUGGCGGAAUGCUUUACACAUGCAAGUCGAGCGGCAGCACGGGGGCAACCCUGGUGGCGAGCGGCGAACGGGUGAGUAAUACAUCGGAACAUGCCCAGUCGUGGGGGAUAACACUUCGAAAGAAGUGCUAAUACCGCAUACGUCCUGAGGGAGAAAGCGGGGGAUCUUCGGACCUCGCGCGAUUGGAGUGGCCGAUGUCAGAUUAGCUAGUUGGUGGGGUAAAGGCCUACCAAGGCAACGAUCUGUAGCCGGUCUGAGAGGAUGAUCAGCCACACUGGGACUGAGACACGGCCCAGACUCCUACGGGAGGCAGCAGUGGGGAAUUUUGGACAAUGGGGGCAACCCUGAUCCAGCCAUUCCGCGUGAGUGAAGAAGGCCUUCGGGUUGUAAAGCUCUUUCGGCAGGAACGAAACGGCGAGCUCUAACAUAGCUUGCUAAUGACGGUACCUGAAGAAGAAGCACCGGCUAACUACGUGCCAGCCGCCGCUGUAAAAC